rnacentral:rRNA from 1 species
GUAGGUGGCAAGCGUUAUCCGGGAAUUAUUGGGCGUAAAGCGCGCGUAGGCGGGUUUUUUAAGUCUGAUGUGAAAGCCCACGGGCUCAACCGUGGGAGGGUCAUUGGAAACUGGAAAACUUGAGUGCAGAAGAGGAAAGUGGAAUUCCAUGUGUAGCGGUGAAAUGCGCAGAGAUAUGGAGGAACACCAGUGGCGAAGGCGACUUUCUGGUCUGUAACUGACGCUGAUGUGCGAAAGCGUGGGGAUCAAACAGGAUUAGAUACCCUGGUAGUCCACGCCGUAAACGAUGAGUGCUAAGUGUUAGGGGGUUUCCGCCCCUUAGUGCUGCAGCUAACGCAUUAAGCACUCCGCCUGGGGAGUACGACCGCAAGGUUG